GAGAUAUGUAGACUAAUAAAUUGGUGUUUCCUUCAAACCACUACUUGCCAGAUCUUUGUUUGUGGACAGAAUAAGUUCUGUGUGGUGAAGAACCAAGCAGGAGAACCACUGGGGUAGUCUUCCUACCCUCCAUGGUCACAAACAAUCCAGAUGGGGCACCCAAAUUAUAUAUCUCAGUAGGACCAAUAGAAGCCCUGUAAUAAAACAUCCCCAUGCUCCUCUAUAUUUGAUUACUCCUUACUUUCUACUCCUAAGGAAUUUAGCAAAACAUUCCUUCCAAUUCCACACAGAAUUCUCCCUAAAAUAAGUGCUAGUAUUAUUUUCCAUCUUUAUAUUUCCAUGGAUGUUUCAGCACUCUAUGGACAAUUUGGUGCCCUUAUAGGUUUAGUCCUCCAGUUUUGUCCAGCUGGUCUGUCUUUAAUCUGGCCCUGAUGGCAGCCAUUACUUGAAAUGAAGAAGGCAAUCUAGUGAGAAACUGCAGUUGAUGUUCCUCCUUUCUCAAGGGAUAGGUAGCCCAGCCAGAAGGUCUUCUUGCUGAUGGUGUCUGGGGCCAAGAUUCAGGAAGUUCAGUGGCAGUGGUGGGAAACAAUAUCGGAAAAGGUCAUGCUCCUCCAAAGAAGUGUUUUCCUUCCCGUCUCAGCAACUGUAAAAUUAUAAAUCAAAGAUUAAAAAGUUAAGCCACUACUCAAGUGAAGAUCUUGGUAAAUACACCACUUAACAAACCCCGAUGAUGGAUACAUUGGCAACUAGAUGAAGUCUGUGGUUUUCCAAACAAUGGAGCAGAGACUACAGGGACACACAAAGUAUGCCUAAGGAUUCUCUAUUUCUUCACUUGUUUUAUCAAAGAAGAAAAACUAAUUGCAGUUAAAUACAAGUGAAUCUGCAUGCAGGAAGGAUGUAGAAUGAGUGGGCUAGGGAAGGACAUACUAGGAAAAAAGGAGAGUCCAUGGAAUCCAAGAGCUGCUGCCGUUUCUUCACGGAGCUGACCUGAAUGGAGCUGUGAUUCUGUGACUUCAGUGAGAGCUGAAUAAAUAAUAAUAUUUGGAGACAAAUGAUUUAAGACCCUAUGAAAAAUUAGAAGCACAGUCACCCAAGCCCUACUCAGUUCCUGGCAUCCAAAUGACUGAUUCUCAGAGUCAUUAACAAAAUAAGGGAGAAUGAUAAGAACCUCACAGAAAGAUGGUGUAGAUGAAGCAUCACUAGUUUAGGGCAGCUCCACUAAAAGCAUCACAAGAGGUGUAUUAUAGUGCAAUGCCCAGAUACUGGGCAAAACUGUCACAUCAGUAAUUGUCUUUGACUAACAUCUUCUCUUUUGCUUUACCACUCUGUCCCCUUCUUCAGGUUUCAGGAACCCCAUGUGCAUGUGCCAUUAUCUGCCCACCCAAAUGUCUUUAAUAUGACAGAGACUAAUUAAACCAAAGGUCUUCCACUGUUAGAUUUGAGUAUUUCAUACUGGAGUAUUAACAGCUGGUGGCUUUAGCAUUCCCAUGGGCUAUCUGCAAUUUAAAAUUACUUGUAAUUUUUAUAAUUACUGGAAUAUGGGAAGGAGAGAGAAGAAGGGAAAUGAGCAAGGAAAGAGGAGGGGCUUCCCAUGCUUCUUGUUGAAUCUCAACACUAUUCCAUACCAACCACCAAAACUCCCAACAGUGGGCUUCAGCACCUUUGUCUACAUGUCAUAAAUAAUCUGAACAACUGCUGGGCCCAGCUAUAGAACUGAGAAAGCAGUUAUAUACUCAGAGCACAUAAAGAAGAUUCUUUAGAACUGACUUCUAAGCCCAUAAAAAAAACCUUCCUACAGAUACCAAUGAUCAUGUCUGCAUUCCAGGUAUCUGCCCUGGUCCAAAGUCUUCAUUUUACAAAGAGGCAAACCAAAAGGUGAGUGGCUCACCCAGUGUCACAUAGGGACUGAGUGAAAGGUAGGACCAAGACUGAGCCUAAAUCUCUUCAAUCCCAGUCUACAGUCCGGCCCAAGUAAAUCUUCAUGAGCAUAACACAUUGUCUUUGCUCUAGAGAGGAUCAUGUUCUUCAGAUUCUAGUAUUUGAGUAGUACCUGAGUAGUAAUUUCCCCCUCCUGGACAACUGUCUGGCCCAGUGGCUCCAGGGCAGGCACAGGAAUAUUAACAGGUUCCCAGGGGGAGCCUGGUAUGUGGGGUGUUGGAACCACCUCUAUGUUUUGCUUAUCACACCUUUACCUAUCAGCGCUUGGAGCCAACUGGAAAGUUCCCCUGAAAGACUGUUCUGGGAACAUCCUCUCAAGCCCAAAUAUCAAAAGGCUCUUGACAAUUAGGGCAGAAGGCAGAGUCCUAAAGACAAACAGCAGCAAAUCCACAGAAACAGAAAGUGGAUUAGUGGGGGGUAGGCUUGAGGGAUGACAGCUAAUGGGUAUGGGGUUUCUUCUGGAGGUUGAUGAAAACAUUCUGGAAUUCAUUGUGAUGAUUAUACAACAAUAUUUGUUUUUAAUAUUUUUAUUUAUUUAUUCAUGAGAGAUGCAGAGAGAGAGAGGCAGAGAGAGAAGCAGAGACACAGGUAGAGGGAGAAGCAGGCUCCAUGCAGGGAGCCCAAUGUGGGGCUUGAUCCUGUGACUCCAGGAUCAUGCCUUGGGCUGAAGGCAGGCGCUCAACUACUGAGCCACCCAGGUGUCCCAACUUGGUGUGAUCUUGAUUAUACAUUUUAAGAGAGUGAAUUUUAUGGUAGGUAAAUUAUAUUUCAAUUUCUGAAAAGCCCAUAUAGAUGUAUGGGUACCACAUAUCACAUGCAAAGGGAUCACCUGACUCCCUGAGACCUCACAACUGUUGGGUGACUUCCCCUGGGCAAUAGAGGUAAAAUGUUGCCAGGACAGCUGAUGACUAUAAUGGCUACCAUUUGCUGCACACUUCUUAUGUGGCUGACACCUAUGAUAUACAGUGUAUGGUUAUCUCAAAUGAUGCAUCAUAACCAAAGAUGUGGAUGCUAUUAUUAUAUUGUUAUUGUUAACAUUUUACAGAUGAUAAAAUGGAGGUAUAGUAAGGUUAAACAACUUGACCAGGCUCAAAGCCAGUAAGUGACAAAAGUGAUACUAGAAAGGUAUGUCUAAAUAGGCAUCAAAAGAAUCUGCCCCACAUCAUUUCCCUCGUGAUUCUGAUACUCCCACUUUGAGAUUUUGGGAAAAUAGAAUAAUAAUAAUCAUAAUAGUGAUAACAAUGUAGCUAAGAUUUAUUAAUUCUUUCCAGGUUCCAACCUUUCUGCUAAAUUAUCCACAUAGAUUACCUCACAUAAUCGUCACAAAAACUUUGUGAAGCAUAUAUUAUUGUGGUGGAAGGUUAGGCAGAGAAUAGUAAUGUAAUUUGCCCAAAGCCACAGAGCUUGCAAGCGAUGGAACCAGGAUUUGAACACAGACCCUACUGCUAAGCCACUUUGUCAGAGAGGCAAAUCCAGAUGCCUGCAGCAGCUGGGAGAAUAAAAAAGUAAAGUAGGCCCCAUAUGUUUCUUGAAAUACAAAAUAGCAUCUGCCCAUCUUUUAUUUAUCUAUAGGGAUGUGGUAUGAUUUUUCUCAUAAUACUAUAAGGCAAACAAAACACAAGAGCAAUGAUAAAUGACACUUUGCCUCAAUGUCAAGGAUACAAAACAAAGUGGUCAAACCAGCAAAAAGAAAAGCCUAUUUUCAUCUAAAGGGGCAGCCACCACUCAAGUCCAACCCUCUGUUGCCAGGUGGCUGUAUGAUGCACUGCCAUAUUUUCUGAGAGAAACGAGAGAGAUUCUUACAUGAAAUCUUUUGGUUUAAAGGAAAAAUGGCAAAUUUGAGUGCCUGAGUGCCUCAGUCGGUUGAGCAUCUAACUCUUGGUUUCAGCUCAGGGUCGUGGUCUCAGGAUCAUGGGAUCAGUCCCCAUGUUUGACUCUGUGCCAAGGGCAGAGUCUACUUGGGAUUCUCUGCCUCUCCCUCUUCCUCUGCCCCUCCCCCUGCUAAUGCUUGCACUCCCUCAAAUAAAUGAAUAAAGUCUUUGGGAAAAAUGGGAAAAGUAAAAGGGAAAAAAGGUAGACAUUACUAGUCUCACUUUAUUAUUAUUAUUUUUAAUGGCAAAGAAUCCUGCAGCCUCAAUUUGGUCUGUAACAGUUCACUCUCAAUCUUUGUAUAUAGCAAAUUGCUUCCUCAAGCAGUUCCAUGUGACUGGAAUUUAGGAUUUGGAGUAAAAACUGACAGGUAGAAUUUGGAAUGGUGAGGAGAGGCGAUGAUAUGAAGAUUCUUGAUGGACUCCUAAGGAAGGUAAAUCUCAUUCCACAGCCCAGAAAGCUGGAAGCUUUGUCAUUUUGUUUUGCUUAAGAACAGAAAGACACCAGAUCAGAAAGACAUCCUGAGAAUUAUGUUAAGGGCAGAACAGCUGAAAGACAGAGCUGAGGCAGUGAGACUAAAUGGAAGAUAAUUGUCACCCUUAAGGUAGUGGCAAUGGGGGUGAGACAAUGGAUCUAAGUCAAUUAAUAGCUGAGACCUUCCUUAGUAAAAAAAUAGAUCUGCUUAUAUCAAAAGAGCAUAUACAUACACUCUAUUAUAUAGCAAUGGCAUCACUUGAUAAAGAAAAGGCCAUCAUCAUGAAAAGGGAGACAUUAGCAAAUGAGGAAGAAAGCAAUGAGGAAAACAAGAGAGGGGUUUCAGGAUACAACUUGUUUGAAGCUGGAUUUGGCAUGUAUAAAGGAAAGAAAAUGUCCUUGGCUAUGGAGCAGACAGCUUGAAAACUGCCUAAGAAAACAAAACAAAACAAAAAAGUGAAUAAGGAAAAUAAAAAGAAAACAUAUAAGGUCAGGUAUUAAGAAAUUAAAAAGAAAUAUAAGAAACGAGGAGGGGAAAAAAUAAUCAGGCAGUGAGAGUAGUGCAUGUCCCUAAAGUCCAGAUUUAAUGCAGAUGAUAGAAACUGUGGAGAGCAUUUUAAAAAUAUGUUGUAACGAAGGCACUAAAGAGAUUGCUUUAACAGAGACAGAAUUCAAGAACAGAGACCACAGGAAGGUAGUUAUAAGAAGAAGAAGAAAAAGAGAUCCAAAAUAUGGCAAAGGAUUUUAGCUAUUGGAGACCAGUGGGAAAAGAUGAGUUUUAGAGAUGUCAGAAAGGAAAAUAUGACAGGAUUUUGGAAUAUUCUCCGAGUGAAAAUAAGGUCUAUUCUGUAAAAAAUACAAAGUUCUCUCUCCACAAGUGCUUAAGAAGCAGCCCCGAGGACAGCCAAAGAUAAUACCAAAGCUGCAUUCCGAGGGUAUGAGGAAGAGAGUGCAGUUACCAGAAAGUUCCAAAAGGGAAAGGAGUAAAGAUUUUCAUCUUUACCAAGCUUGGUUUUCGUUGGUUGUCACAUCACACAGACCAGAAUGAAGUGUUCCACAGAAGCAACUUCAGAUGGCCCAGAACACUCUGGGAGAACUACAAUAGUCACAAAGGCAGAAGGAAAAAGGAGGACCCUUCUCCAUACAUAGGGUCCAGGAAUAAAAAGGACCAACAACAGUAACAAAAGAUCCUAUUUAAAAGCACAAAGUUGGGGGUGCCUGGCUGGCUCGGUUGGUGAAGCUUGUGACGUUUGAUCCUGGGGAUUGUGAGUUCAGGCCCUAUGUUGGGUGUAGAAAUUACUUAAAAAUAAAACCUUGGAAAAAAAUAAUAAAGGGCACUUGGGUGGCUCAGUGGAUGAGUGUCUGCCUUUGGCUCAGGGUGUGAUCCUAGGGCCCUGGGAUCAAGUCCUGCAUUAGGUUCCCUGCAGGGAUCCUGCUUCUGCCUCUGCCUAUGUCUCUACCUCUCUCCAUUUCUCUCAUGAAAAAAUAAAUUUUUAAAGACUUAAAAAAUAAUAAAAGCACAUAGUUGUACAUUAAAGGAGAAGAAAUACAAGUGAAGAGGAAGGAGGACUAUUACUGUUAGGACAAGAAGGGGCUGUCAUUUCAGUGUGUAAUGUAAUAUCUGGCAACUUAGUAUUCCAUUUAAGUUCUUCAUCAGAUAGGCAAAAUUACUCCAUUUUGCAGAAGAAAGUGUGGGGUUCUGUAAAAUAAUUACUUGCUAAAAAUUCACAAAGAUAGUUAAUAUUUAGAGCCAAGUCUUAUUGAAUUCUCAAGCUUAAGUAUUUUCCACAAUACUGCAGUCACUACGGACCAUUUUCCACCUGGAUUUCUGCAAGAGCCUUCCUAACUAGUGUGUCUCUCACCUCCUCCAUCCUCCAUUCAAUACAUCAUCCAAGGGGAUCCCUGGGUGGCUCAGUGGUUUGGCACCUGCCUUUGGCCCAGGGCGCGAUCCUGGAGUCCCGGGAUCGAGUCCCGCAUCGGGCUCCCUGUGUGGAGCCUGCUUCUCUCUCUGCCUCUCUCUCUCUAUGUCUAUCAUGAAUGAAUAAAUAAAUAAAUAAAUAUUUUUAAAAAACCAAUACAUCAUCCAAGCAAUGAAUCAAAGACACAAAUGAAAUUGUUACACUGCCCAUUCAAAUUCCUUCAGUAAAUUCCCUUUAGUCUUCAGUGGAGUCCAGACCACUUAGCAUUCCCUACAAGGCCAUUCAAGGUCUGGCCCUACUCAGUUUCCCAGCUUCAUCUCAAGCUCCUCUCCUUGAAGAUGACAAUUCAAUGACUCUGAAUAUAUAUUUAAGCCCUUGGAAUGUACCAUGAUUAUUUUCGCCUCCAGGGCUUGACACAUUGUCUCCAUAGGCUGCAGCACUCAUCUCCCUAACCAUCUAGCCCCUCCCCUUGGCAGUCACCAAGGAGGACUCAUUUCUUACAAAAAUUAACACAUCUUACUGGAAUUCUCUUUAUCUGUUCUCAGAUACCCAUACCCCCUCUACCAUGAGCUACAUGAGGAAAGAUCCUGUUUCCAUUUUGUUCACUCUUGAAUCCACAACACCUAGCACAUGCACUGACAUAUCAUCAGUGUUAAGCACAUAUGUUUUGAAAUGGACAAAUAAAUUGGAUGGGGUGAAGGCCCUUAUUGGUUACUAAGUGAAACUGUUAUCAGUAGAGGCCAAAUUCCUAGAUGACCCCAAAGCCCCUACUCUUGGCAUCUAUAAUUUACUGCCCAUUGCUGAAGAUUCUUUUCC
rnacentral:lncRNA from 1 species